AAAAAGGCUCUUUUCAGAGCCAUACAAAUUCAAUCGAAAUGAAAU
rfam:Lasius niger Lnig_2.1_8490, whole genome shotgun sequence.